UUUCCGUAGGUGAACCUGCGGAAGGAUCAUUAAUGUGUUUGGGCCUCACGGCUCUUCAUUCCGACGUUGUGCGCCUUCGGGCUGCACGCUGAGGGAGCAUAUAUCCACCCCUGUGCACACACACGGUGGCGAGCUGGGUAACGGCUCGCCGCUGAUCUUUACACACGUCUAAAAGUCAUUGUAUGUUUAUUUGUGAUAAAAACACAACUUUCAGCAACGGAUCUCUUGGCUCUC
rnacentral:misc_RNA from 1 species